UACGGAGGGCGCGAGCGUUAUCCGGAUUUACUGGGCUUAAAGGGUGCGUAGGUGGGUCUGUAAGUCAGUGGUGAAAUCUCCAAGCUUAACUUGGAAACUGCCGUUGAUACUAUCUGUCUUGAAUACCGUGGAGGUGAGCGGAAUAUGUCAUGUAGCGGUGAAAUGCUUAGAUAUGACAUAGAACACCAAUUGCGAAGGCAGCUCGCUACACGAAUAUUGACUCUGAGGCACGAAAGCGUGGGGAUCAAACAGG
rnacentral:rRNA from 1 species